rnacentral:rRNA from 1 species
AUUGAACGCUGGCGGCAGGCCUAACACAUGCAAGUCGCGCGAGCGGCGGACGGGUGAGUAAUGUCUGGGACACUGCCUGAUGGAGAGGGCUAACUACUGGAAACGGUAGCUAACACCGCAUACCAUCAGAUGUGCCUAGAUGGGAUUAGCUGGUAGGUGAGGUAACGGCUCACCUAGGCGAAGAUCCCUAGCUGGUCUGAGUGGAUGACCAGCCACAAUGUCACUGGGACACGGUCCAGACUCCUACGGGAGGCAGCAGUGGGGAAUAUUGCACAAUGGGCGCAAGCCUGAUGCAGCCAUGCCGCGUGUGUGAAGAAGGCCUUCGGGUUGUAAAGCACUUUCAGCGGGGAGGCGUUACCCGCAGAAGAAGCACCGGCUAACUCCGUGCCAGCAGCCGCGGUAAUUC